rnacentral:rRNA from 1 species
ACAGUGGACGCGAGCAUCUGUGGCCAAGUUUUUAAGGGCGCACGGUGGAUGCCUUGGUACCAGGAACCGAUGAAGGACGUGGGAGGCCACGAUAGUCCCCGGGGAGCCGUCAACCAGGCUUUGAUCCGGGGGUUUCCGAAUGGGGAAACCCGGCAGUCGUCAUGGGCUGUCA